rnacentral:misc_RNA from 1 species
GAUUUUCUCAAAGAACCAGCUCUUUGA